rnacentral:lncRNA from 1 species
GCUUCUCCUGUCCAGGGCCUCAGGCCUCCUCCACUUCAGAGAGGAGCAUACUCCAGACUUUAUGCAUGCAGUCUGGUGGGAGGCAUCACAAAGCUGGCGUGGCAAAGCCCUAAGAUGCCAGGUCACAGGACACACGGAGCUGCCAAGGCCCUCUACCCCAUAGCUCUGGUGAGAGACCCCAGGCCCCUUAGAACCUCUUUGGGCCCCCUGCCGUGAGGCAAGAGCCCCUCUCCAGACACCCCUCGCCAUCUGAUUUUGCACCAGCUCCUGCCCAGCCCACCUGAGAAUGCAGAUGUUUGGAUCCAGUGGGGAAUGUGUUCCUGCUCCAUGCUCCCAAUUUCAGAACAAACUUUGAGCUGAGCUACAGCUUUCUCAUUGAUCCCCUUCUAGUCUUCUGAACAAAUUAGUCUGUGAUUUUUUAUUUUUUUCCAUUUAUUGCUGACCCUUUUGGAUUUAUGAGGCCGUGUGAGAGGAAUUAUGUAUCUCACACACACGCAUCUGGCAUGACGAUAAAUCUCCACCACUGAAGCCCCGCAGAUUUGCAGCGAAUCUGAUGGCUCCCAGGCUCGCUGCCACGUGGUUGGUGCUGACGUGCGGCGCAAUGCGGUGGCGGCUGCAGUCACAGCUGGAACCAGCGUGACUUUCCCUGGGAGCCCAGCAGGUGCCUCGCGUCGCUGGCAGGUGGUAGGGUGCCCUUGAAGGGGGCUGGUCGUGAGGAACGAAGGAAAACCCGGGCCAGGGCUUCCAAGGACAGCGGCCCUGGAGGGGGCCGGAGCCGUCAGGUUACUCUGAGCACCGGAGAAAAAGCCGCUUCAGCAGAGGUGUAAACGCAUUUAAUCUCCCAACAGGACAUAUACAGAGCGGAGGGCUUUGGCAUUCAGAUAUAUUGACCGGGCAAGAUGGUAAUCCAAGGUUCCUCCCCUUCAAGGUCUCCUGCUGUAUUUGCCUGGGCUCUGAUCUGUCGUCACCGCUUGGGCCAAUAAAUCUUGAUACCAG